GCAGGCUUAACACAUGCAAGUCGAGCGGGGAAAAGUAGCUUGCUACUUUACCUAGCGGCGGACGGGUGAGUAAUGCUUAGGAAUCUGCCUAUUAGUGGGGGACAACAUUUCGAAAGGAAUGCUAAUACCGCAUACGUCCUACGGGAGAAAGCAGGGGACCUUCGGGCCUUGCGCUAAUAGAUGAGCCUAAGUCGGAUUAGCUAGUUGGUGGGGUAAAGGCCUACCAAGGCGACGAUCUGUAGCGGGUCUGAGAGGAUGAUCCGCCACACUGGGACUGAGACACGGCCCAGACUCCUACGGGAGGCAGCAGUGGGGAAUAUUGGACAAUGGGGGCAACCCUGAUCCAGCCAUGCCGCGUGUGUGAAGAAGGCCUUUUGGUUGUAAAGCACUUUAAGCGAGGAGGAGGCUCCCAGUAUUAAUACUACUGGAGAGUGGACGUUACUCGCAGAAUAAGCAACCGGCUAACUCUGUGCCAGCAGCCGCGGUAAUACAGAGGGUGCAAGCGUUAAUCGGAUUUACUGGGCGUAAAGCGUGCGUAGGUGGCCAAUUAAGUCAAAUGUGAAAUCCCCGAGCUUAACUUGGGAAUUGCAUUCGAUACUGGUUGGCUAGAGUAUGGGAGAGGAUGGUAGAAUUCCAGGUGUAGCGGUGAAAUGCGUAGAGAUCUGGAGGAAUACCGAUGGCGAAGGCAGCCAUCUGGCC
rnacentral:rRNA from 1 species